AUACAUGCAAGUCGAGCGGACAGAUGGGAGCUUGCUCCCUGAUGUUAGCGGCGGACGGGUGAGUAACACGUGGGUAACCUGCCUGUAAGACUGGGAUAACUCCGGGAAACCGGGGCUAAUACCGGAUGCUUGAUUGAACCGCAUGGUUCAAUUAUAAAAGGUGGCUUUUAGCUACCACUUACAGAUGGACCCGCGGCGCAUUAGCUAGUUGGUGAGGUAACGGCUCACCAAGGCAACGAUGCGUAGCCGACCUGAGAGGGUGAUCGGCCACACUGGGACUGAAACACGGCCCAAACUCCUACGGGAGGCAGCAGUAGGGAAUCUUCCGCAAUGGACGAAAGUCUGACGGAGCAACCCCGCGUGAGUGAUGAAGGUUUUCGGAUCGUAAAACUCUGUUGUUAGGGAAAAACAAGUACCGUUCGAAUAGGGCGGUACCUUGACGGUACCUAACCAGAAAGCCACGGCUAACUACGUGCCACCAGCCGCGGUAAUACGUAGGUGGCAAGCGUUGUCCGGAAUUAUUGGGCGUAAAGCGCGCGCAGGCGGUUUCUUAAGUCUGAUGUGAAAGCCCCCGGCUCAACCGGGAAGGGUCAUUGGAAACUGGGGAACUUGAGUGCAAAAAAGGAGAGUGGAAUUCCACGUGUACCGGUGAAAUGCGUAAAGAUGUGAAGGAACACCAGUGGCGAAGGCGACUCUCUGGUCUGUAACUGACGCUGAGGCGCGAAAGCGUGGGGAGCGAACAGGAUUAGAUACCCUGGUAGUCCACGCCGUAAACGAUGAGUGCUA
rnacentral:rRNA from 1 species